AAAAAGACAUGUCUUACUUUGAACAAGACGAGGAUCUAAAAAUGUUUACAACUUCGUUAGGUUAAGAAAUUAAGGCCAAAUGAGCCAUUACUUAGCAACUAUUAUCAAAUAAUCAUGUGUCCUUUUUUUUUUUUUUAAAAUUAGUUCAACUUUUGUUCAAAUAUCAAUGAAAUAUGUUCAAUAUUUUUGUGGUGGGAGUUGCUGGCUAUGGAUUUAUCGAAAGUGUAGAUGAAGUUUGAGUUUUGCUAAG
rnacentral:lncRNA from 1 species